UUCCAUCAGCGUGUGCAGUCCACCUGACCCCAGCUUUUCUGUUUAGGCGUCUGUCACUGUCCUUCACUGUCUUCACUCCUUCCUUGCCUCUAGUCAGGCUUCCAAGCACCAAGCCACAUAGUGCAGACCGAGGAAACACGAAUAGGCCCUGGACCGUUGUCUGGACAGCUUUGUAACCUAGGAAGACCUUGAACUCCUGAUCCUCCAGUCUCCACCUCUAGAGUACUAAAUUUCAGGGCUCCCGGAGCUGGGAGAAAACGUACCACCGCCAUGUUGGGAAGCUGAAGUGGGUGGAGCCAGCAGCCACAGC